rnacentral:rRNA from 1 species
UGAGUACGAGAUGCUACGGCGUCGAAGCAGUCUAGGUCAUACUUCCAAGAAAAGCUUGCACUGUCAUAAACAAAGAAUGCCUGUACCAUAACCGACACAGGUGGGUAGGUAGAGUAUACUAAGGGGCGCGAGAUAACUCUCUCUAAGGAACUCGGCAAAAUGACUCCGUAACUUCGGGAGAAGGAGUGCCUUAUUUUUAAGGUUGCAAUAACAAGAUCCAAGCAACUGUUUACCAAAAGCACAGGUCUCCGCUAAGUCGUAAGACGAUGUAUGGGGGCUGACGCCUGCCCAGUGCCAGAAGGUUAAAGAAGUUGGUUAGCAUUCGCGAAGCUGAUAACUGAAGCCCUGGUGAACGGCGGCCGUAACUAUAACGGUCCUAAGGUAGCGAAAUUCCUUGUCGGGUAAGUUCCGACCCGCACGAAAGGCGUAAUGAUUUGGAUACUGUCUCGGAGAGGGGCUCGGUGAAAUAGACUUGUCUGUGAAGAUGCGGACUACCUGCACCUGGACAGAAAGACCCUAUGAAGCUUUACUGUAACUUGAGAUUGAAAUUGGACUUUAUUUGCGCAGUAUAGGUGGGAGGCGUUGAGAAUAAUCUUGCGGGAUUAUCGGAGCCAUCAGUGAGAUACCACUCUUGUAAUGUUAGAUUUCUAACUUUGUAUCAUUAUCUGGUCAAAGAACAGUUUCAGGCGGGCAGUUUGACUGGGGCGGUCGCCUCCCAAAGGGUAACGGAGGCGCACAAAGGUUUCCUCUGAACGGGUAGAAAUCGUAUCUAGAGUGUAAAGGCAUAAGGAAGCUUGACUGUGAGACCUACAAGUCGAGCAGGGACGAAAGUCGGUCUUAGUGAUCUGACGGUGCUGAGUGGAAAGGCCGUCACUCAACGGAUAAAAGUUACUCUAGGAUAACAGGCUGAUCUCCCCCAAGAGUUCACAUCGACGGGGAGGUUAGGCACCUCGAUGUCGGCUCAUCGCAUCCUGGGGCGGUAGUACGUCCCAAGGGUUGGGCUGUUCGCCCAUGAAAGCGGUACGCGAGCUGGGUUCAGAACGUCGUGAGACAGUUCGGUCCAUAUCCGGUGUAGGCGUUAGAAUAUUGAAAGGAGCCUUCUCUAGUACGAGAGGACCGAGAAGGACAUACCUCUGGUGUGCCAGUUAUCGUGCCAACGGUAAACGCUGGGUAGCUAUGUAUGGAGUGGAUAACCGCUGAAAGCAUCUAAGUGGGAAGCCCACCUUAAGAUAAGUAUUCU